rnacentral:tRNA from 1 species
AGUUAAAAAGCUUAAAAAAGCAUUAUAAUUUGAAAUUAUAAUAAAAGAAAUUAAGUUUUCUAUUAACUU